GGCAAUAAAAUUGAUUUAAAAAUCUUAAAAAAACUAAGGAAAAAAAUAGAAAAACCCUUGGACAUACUUACAUAUACAUACAUAUGCGAUUUGAAAGGUAUUUUGCAUAUAAAAAUAUACAGGAAAAUUUUGGGUAUCAACAGCAAGUAGAAUGCAUCCGGAUGGUCUUUCAUUUCGGGUACACCUGUCCUAGACAAAUCCAACCCCUGUGUUGAGUCUCCAAAGUCAAAUGCACGUGAUGCAAACAAACGUUCCUGUCGACGCCCCCUUUUUUCUAAAGAGAGAAAAUGGGUUAACGACAUUAUGGGAAAAAAUAUCUUAUUCCCUUGCGGGAAUCAGGUUAUAGAAUUUGAAGAGUCACCACCUAAUGACUAUAGUGCAUUAGGACACUUUAAAGAGAAAAAGCAAUUUUGAAAGAAAAACCAGAGUUCGGGUAAGGGCUUGAGAUUAUCUAGAUGGGAAGGUGUUAGGCAC
rnacentral:lncRNA from 1 species